rnacentral:rRNA from 1 species
UACAGAGGUCCCAAGCGUUGUUCGGAUUCACUGGGCGUAAAGGGUGCGUAGGUGGCUUGGUAAGUUCGAUGUGAAAUCUCCGCGCUUAACCCGGAAAUGGCAUUGAAUACUAUUGAGCUGGAGGUUUGGAGGGGGGACUGGAAUUCUCGGUGUAGCAGUGAAAUGCGUAGAUAUCGAGAGGAACACCAGUGGCGAAGGCGAGUCCCUGGACAACACCUGACACUGAGGCACGAAAGCUAGGGGAGCAAACAGG